CACGUAAGGGGCGAGCGUUGUUCGGAAUUAUUGGGCGUAAAGAGCGCGUAGGCGUCCUGAUUAGUCCUUAAUUAAAUUCCAAUGCUUAACAUUGGAACUGUUAAGGAAACUGUCAGGAUUGAGGAUUUUCGAGGCAAACGGAACUUGCGAAGUAGGAGUGAAAUCCAUUGAUAUCGCAAGGAACACCAAUGGCGAAGGCAGUUUGCUAGGAUUUUCCUGACGCUGAGGAGCGAAAGCGUGGGGAGCGAAUGGG
rnacentral:rRNA from 1 species